CUCAGUGAAUAAUACCUUAUCUGGCAAUUGACCCACUCUACCCUUUUCUCUCUCCUUCUAUCCAUCUGUUAGUAUUCUCAGACAUUCACCCUCAGGUUGAAUUUGAGUCCCAUGCUUCUCCCUAGUCUUUUCCCUUCCUCCCUCUCCUCUCUUCCUUCCUCCCUCUCUUCCCUUCCUCCUCCCUCUGGCUGGCUGCCACUCCUCCCAGCGGAUCUGUGCCUGUGGUAGUGGUGUAUGUUGUCGGUUGAGGCCGGCCCCCUCUCUCUCCUCAGAUGGAGGAGUGAAGCUCACUGACACACAUACAGACGCAACAAGCCACAGGCAGGCACGCUACCAGACAGACCGGCAGACAGGUAAGCAGGAGGCAGGCACCAUGACGCAAACAGGGGACAGACUCAGCUCUGUGACAACAGAUGCCUCCCACAGAACUGAACACUGAAGUUUACUUUGAGAGCCUCAGUGGAGCUGGAAUAAGCAGAAAAUAAGACAAAUAACAAGACGGGAUGAGGAGUUCUUGACUGCUGUUUUUCAUGCUGAGGAGGAGGGGGUAUUUUACACACUUUUUCUGUAGUCGCUGAACCUGUGGAAUUACAUCUAUGAGUCAGGGGAGGACUAAAGCCAGCAUGGUAUUCAGCUGGCAGAAGUCCUUUGCCAUCCUGAACCCCUGGAGGAAAGGGAAGGGGGACAAUGUGCUGGAUAAUGAGGUCGUCUUGACCAAAAUGAAGCUCUUCAACAACUUCCAUGAGAAGCUCCUCAACAACGCUGUUGAUUCUUCAUCCACUAUCUCCAUGUCAGUAUCUGAGCAGGACAUCGCAGAGCCUGUCAAAGGCUUGAAGGGGAAUGCUGAUCUGGAUAACAUGCCUGGGAAGCCCCUGAUGGAGUCAAACUCAGGCUACCUCUCUGACAUUUUCUCAGACUCUCAGCUUCCCAUGCUGUACAAGUUUGAGUCGGAGGACUCUGGAGUGGAACUGCCCAGUGGAACCAACUCUCCCUCCACACCCACCGGCUCAGAGCAGAGCUUUGUGGUCCACAGCCGGGAACCGUCCUAUGACUCCUGUAACCUCAAUACUCCUGUCCCUACCCCAGGUCCACUCCUCACCAUUGAACAGUGCUCUGACACCAAACAAACAGAGGAUAUAAGAGACACACCAUGUACGACUGUAGACAAUGCUGUGCUGGAGUGUAAUACUGUGGAGUUGGGGGCUGAACUCAACACAGAGGUUGAGAGGGUAGACCUUCAUAUAACUGAGAAGGACAUAAAUAUGGAGAGGGCCCAACACAGGGCCUUGAAGGACACUGCUGAGGACAGUGACAGGGUUUCAGAGGAGCUGGGUGAGAACAGGGCUGUGACUGACGGGAUCAACUCAGAGAAGACAAGGUCCAAGAGCCAGUGCUCUACAGGGGCCUGUGAUGAUAUGACAGGAGUUAACUUUGAGCAGCGGCCUCUGAGGAAAAGCACGACGAGCGACAGCCUAGAGGAGUAUAUGGAGGAAUGCUGUAGACUGAGUGAGGUCCACCAGGCCAGCUCCAACCCCCUGGGCUCCGGACUGGGCUACCUGGAGCACAUCUGCCAGCUCAUUGAGAAGAUUGGGCAGCUCCAGGAACACAACCUCAGGCUGCAGAAGCAAAUCUGUGGGCUGCAAAAGGAUGGAAGGAUGACCAAGACCAAAGAGGACUUCUUCCUGCAGCACUGUAGCUGUGGAACGGCCGGCAUGGCCUUCCAUGAACAGAAAAGACACUCUAGGAGUGAGUUCCUGACCACCUCCGUGAGCGGCACCCUCUCUGACCUCUCCACCAUCCCUGAGGUCACACACCACACAGGACUCACAGCCAGGGGAGAGAGUGACCAGGGUGGAUGCCAGCCCCUGGUGCCCCUUUGGAAGAGGGGCCUGAAUCGGAUGAGCUACUCAGAGGGAGAUACGCGCUCCUAUCUCUCUGACAGUACAGAGGGUCUCUCUGCCCCACACAGACGGGUGAGUCACUCUAACAUCCCUCCUCUGACUCACUGGCUCUGCAUAAUACCCUAAACCCCUGUUUAAGGUGCAAAUAUCUACAUCAGCCCAACUCGAUGUUACCCGACCAAACAGUGGGUAAAGCGCCUAUUCGUUAAUGCUGAGAGAUGUGUGUUUGGUUGUGUAGCUGAGUGAGAACUACACGUGGGGCAGAGUGAAGGAUCUGGUGAAGAAGACCAAGCUGAGGAACCAGAGCAGACUGGGACAAACAUCCACCUCCCUCAAGAGAUCCUGUCCACAGCUUUACCGGUGAGGACACUCCCCACCCAUCCAUCCCGCUCUCUCUUGCUCUCUUGCGAAGGAAACACUCAGUCUACUCGAAAUACUGUAUCUCUUACUACAGUAUCUGUAAACAAACACGCAACUAACACUAGGAUUACCUUUAACUUAAUACAAUUAAAAAUAACAGUUGGCGCUUGUUGCUCCUUCAAGGAUGUUUGAAAAUCUUGAGCUAAUCAUGCUACAAGGAAGGAGAGGUUAAGUUGUAAUUAAUCACAGCUCGCUUUAGUUUCAUAUUUUGUAGGUGCCUAUUACUUCUAGAUAAUUUAGUCUUAGCAGAAAGAGGAGUUAAGACUGUAUUUGGCAGUAGGUCAUGGGUUGUGUUUCCAGAAUGAUUCAACUGCUUCCUAGGAAGAAUAUAGACACUGAAAAUACUGAAAAUGCCCAACCGACUCAUAUCAUCUUACCAUUUAGAGAUAAUUACUUAAUUAAAUUACUUUUAUAUUGCUUUUUAAAAUGCAGUUAUAACACAUCACUUGUAAGUAGCGAUUUAACUAACCCUGUGACAAAUUAUCAGCCAAGCUAAAAUCAAAUGGAUUUUGAGAAUAAAAUGUACCACUAACCAGAAUAUAUUGUUACUCAACACAACUGUCAAAAGUAUGUGCCUUGACAAAUUAUCUUGAGUAAUAACCACGGCUUUAAUAUUUUAUUUUACAACAUUCAGCAUACGCCAUGGAGAACUUAGCCCACAACCACUGGAAUCUAUCUUAAAUAGCGUCCCGAAAAUGUCAAAAUGAAGCAAAAAAACGGACUUGUACACAAAGCAGAUGCACUCUUCAGUGUCAGGGAGCGACUACGCACCGUUUAUUUCAAUAUGACUGAGGCAAAUAUGAUAAGCUUAAGUGUUUUUAUCUGAGUACAAGCUUGUAAAAUUAUACUUCCCAAGUUCACUGGCUCUCUCCACUGGUGGUAAAUGGUGACUAGCACUGCUGGGUUUAAAUGGCCUAAGCUCAAAACCACUGAAAACAAACCAACCUCCCUCAUUUGUUAAACAAAACACAAUUGGCCCCCUCUAACAGUAUGUCAGCUUUGCAAGCAGGAAUCUACGCCAACAUAUUUGGAGUAGACAAAAAGACGUGGAUAUUUUGGGUUAGAAAGUAUUGACAGCCUUAGCGACUUUAGACGAAUACCAAACUAUGACAGGUUCUUGGCACUUCAAGAUUUUAUUUUAUUUUGUUCAUGCGAGAUGGGUGUGUCAGUGGAAGAAUUGUGGUAUUAUUCUGUUUGAGGGUUGUAGAACAUAAGGAUCUGGUGGGAGUUGAAGAGCUUGAGGAAAGAACAGCUAUUUGUUGUGCCCUUCAACGUAUUCCACAACUUGGAUGAGCACUCCUCAGAGUGAGGGAGCUGGGCACGGACCCAGACUAAUAGCGGAGGGGUUGCCGUGUCUGGUUUGAGGUAUGCAAGGAGGAGUUGGAGAAUUCCACAUGUAUUUCAGAGUGGUCCAAUGAUAUAUAGAGAUAUGCAGAAUUUAUCAAAAGGGAGACCCUCUCUUGGAAAGAAAUGCAUGUGGAAAAACCAUCCUGUUCUCAAGCGUUGUGCAAACUAAUGCAUUGCUCAUUGUAAUAGCAUUGGAGCACACCAAUAACAAUAACCCAUUUCCUUACAGCCCUGACCUGGGACCAGUGGACCUACCAGGAAGAAACAGGAACUCCAUGAUCGCCUUGGGCCAUCAGAACAAACUGGACUUCCAGUGGCCCAGAUAACCAUUGUUGGUACAGAAAGUUCUGACGCAAAAUAUUGCUAAUGCGUAGUGAAACAUGUUGGAAGCAUGCUGUGCAUGUACAAGCACAACUGAUUUAGCAGCUGUCGUGCGAUCUAUUCUCAGCGUACAUGUGUAAUAAAGAUAUCCAUAGAGGUGAAGAGGCAACACUUUUGUAACACUGCCCACACUGAACGUCUUUGUUUUCUACCCAGAUAUGAAACAGACGGCCCGAAGUGGGAAGAGAAUGCCCUGAAGAGGAUAAGGUGAAGUUGCACAGAUUCUCGACUGGACUGAGAGAGUAGUGUGAAAGGAGGGAUGUGAGAAAUAACACUUGUGAUGGAUGACAAAACUUUGAGUGAGGAGUGAAAAGAAAACAAAAAGAGGGAUGGUCAUAGACAUCUCUCUUGAGAUACAAUUCUAAACUAAGGGAUUGUAUUGUUUCAGAUAAGGGAACAUUGGUAUUUAUAUGAGAACAGACAUGCAUGUACUCCACAAUGUACAUGAAUACGAUACAAAUGAUUUCAUCUUGUACUAUAAUCGUUUUUCUUUUCAAUUCAUAUUGUAAUGCUUUCUCUAAAUAUGUGUUAUGUUAGUGACAUUUCAGUACUAUGUGUUGAUGGAGGAAACAACAACUCUUUGACAUGGUUGUUCCAACUAAGAAAUAGCCUAGACAAUAUUCUGGGGUGAAAUUAAAGGGGUAGUUCACGCAAAUUACAAAAUGACAUUGCUUUCCUUACACUGUAAGCCGUCUAUGGACAAGCUAUGGCAGCAAUGCAUCCUUUGGUUUAGUUUCCCUGCCACUGUUUCAACAUGCUAGCAUUUUAGCAUUUGUGGCACAAAUCCCAUUCAAGUCAUGGGACCGAUAUUAUUCGCGCACCAUGCCCAAAUCAAUACAUGAUUUAAAUUCUAGAUAAGAGCGUCUUCUAAAUGACUAAAAUGAAAAUGUAAAUGUAAAAAUAAUUCGAAAGUAUCUAAAGUCGCUUGUCACACUCAACAAAGUCACAUAGAUUAUUUGAACAUGAUGCUUGAAAAAGACAAAUUUCGGUCCCAUGACAGGGUAAGGAAACCAAUAUGUAAUUUUGUGUUUGGGUGAACUAUCGCUUUGGUUAUCAUGCCCCCUUGAAUAAAUGUGAAACAUACACAUAUCAUACAUAUUUGAGGAUUGUACUUAACUAUUCAACACAUUUUGUAUGAAUUCUCUUCUUGUUUUGAGUGUAGGCCUAAGAGGCUGUGUGUGCAUGCACUAUACAGGGAUAAUAGAUCGUGGUGAUGUUGUGUGAAUGUGCUGUAUAUAACAAAAGUUAAUUGUGUACAGUCACUGUGUAUGUACAGGAGGGGAGUUAUGCCUCUGUAAAUUCCUAUGUUUAUAUGAUGGAAAUGUAUACUUUUUUGGAGAUAGGGGUUCCAGAUCCCUUAUGAUAAAACACUUUGAGGAUGCUAGAAAACGUUUGUGAUGCAUUGCCGCAAGGUUUUUUAAUGUUCCUCUCAAACAUUUAUGUAAAAAAAAAAAAAACUGUAAAGAAAAAAAACAAUAAUUUUGUUUAACUGCAACAUGUACAGUAUUUUAUCAGAGGCUGCUGUUGCACAUGCUCAUCUUCAAGACAUUUUUUUUUAUUUAUUGUGACAUGCAAGUCUGGUUUGACAAGCUAACAGUGAUUUUAGCUUUUCUACAUCACGGUUACAUUCCCUGGUUUUCCAGAAAUCCUGGUUGGAAUAUUCCCGUAUUUCCUGCUUUUCCCUCGUAAUGCCAUGAAUCUUCCCAACAGGCUUCCUUGAAAAAAUGUGAAUUUUGGGAAAGCUACUGGAAUUUUGCAACCUUAGUUACAUCACUAUGAGCUUCCUUUGAUAACAGACAGGCAAGUGCCAUGGUACCUUGGAAAUCUCACUGGGUAACUACAGAAGGAAAGUUCAACACAAAAACGUUGAAAAGGAUGACUAAAAUAGCUUCAAAGCCUUGACAUCUAAUUGAAAUACAGCAGAAGUAAAUUCCAAAUGCUCAAAACUGCCCAGCGUUGUUUACAACAGGAAUGGAGGUCAUCAAAUGUUUUGAAAAUACUAAUCCCACAGUAAGAACAAAACAGUUAGUUAUCCAGUAUGUACUUCAGCAAUGUGAACAACAGUAUAGUACAACACCAAUGAGUUAUUCAUCAUGGUCAACAUGUACUCCUAUUAAAAUAAUAAUGUACUCUGUAGUUCUGUACAUGUAGCACAGCUGUAGCUGUAUAAUACGGAAUUCAUGUACUUCUAAAUACUCUAAUCAAGUAGAAAAUAAAUCUGUUGCAACUUGAGAUGCAGUAAAUGCUGUCAAUAUGCAUGAUAGGCCUACAUGUUUUGUCAGGACUGGGAUCUAAAGACUAAAGAUUGUGAUAUCUGUAUAUUGUAGAGUCACAGUAAGUUGUACAUGGAUGGAAUAUCUCAAUAUGCGUAAUGUAUCAUUAUUCAAAGUUAUUUUUCGAAAUAAAGUUGACAUUUUCAAUGACAUGAAAUGCUGUGCUUUUAGUAAUUUUAUACCACUCACCGAGUCCUGCAGGAUAUAAAGCAAAU
rnacentral:lncRNA from 13 species